rnacentral:rRNA from 1 species
CCCCUUAUGUCCAGGGCUACACACGUGCUACAAUGGUAGGUACAAUAAGACGCAAGACCGUGAGGUGGAGCAAAACUUAUAAAACCUAUCUCAGUUCGGAUUGUAGGCUGCAACUCGCCUACAUGAAGCUGGAGUUGCUAGUAAUCGCGAAUCAGAAUGUCGCGGUGAAUACGUUCCCGGGCCUUGUACACACCGCCCGUCACACCAUGAGAGCUGGUAACACCCGAAGUCCGUGAGGUAACCGUAAGGAGCCAGCGGCCGAAGGUGGGAUUAGUGAUUGGGGUGAAGUCGUAACAAGGUAGCCGUAGGAGAACCUGCGGCUGGAUCACCUCCUUUCUAAGGAGA